CUAUCUAGCUAAUUUUCCCCCAACAUCGGACACCUCCUAAUUUCGGACACCUCCUAAUUUCAGACACUCUCUUGUGGUUGGAGGAUUAAAUCACCUCGAGCUCAACAUUUACAUGGCCUGGAAAAUAACGAACAUACUGGAGUUGGUGCAGCUUAUGCUGGUGCUGCCCAUUUCAGCCGCCCAGUGGGAGCGAGGCUUCUCUGCGCAGAACUGGAUUAAGAAUUCGGCAAGAAGCCGCCUUGGGGUCUCCACCACCGAAGACCUGAUGAGGAUCAGCCUGGAGGGGCCUUCUGUCGAGGAGUUCGAUCCCACUCUUGCCGUGGACCGCUGGCUGACCUCUAAGCGUGCCAGACGGCCAACAUACAAAAGCAGCUGGACAACUGAUAUCCUUUGCGUCUAGUAGGCAUGGGUCAAUGUGUGAUUUUGGUGGCAUGUGCUGUUCCACAGAUGUGUGUCCCUUAGUACAUUCACACACACUCACACACGCAGUAUAAAUAUGUAUCUAAUAAAUGUUUGUUAAUAAACGCUGUGUUACAUUUUU